GGUGUUCCGAAGCCAGCAUAGAGAUAGAAUCCCUCUAGUGUGUCCUGGGACAGCUGCAGGGUCUCCACCUAGUGGAACCGACCUGGAGCAGCCCUAGAGGUUCGGGUGGGGUCAUCCUUACAGCCUGCUUCAACGUUUAAUGUUCACAAUCAGUAAGCUGGGCUGGACUCCUGACCAAUGAGUGAGGGGGGAGGUGGGGCUUCCAUUCCAAUGCUUGGUCACGUUUGAGUGCGUCCCAUUUCUACUCGUUAGUCCAUAUUUUGGAAGAAGCUUAUUGAACAAUAGUUUAGUAAAAAUACACGACUGGAGAAAUUCGUUCUCUGGUGUCGAGCCUUGGUCUCCGCAGACGUGUAGCCUAUCAGAAACUUUGCUAUCUCCGUUCUUCACGAAAACAUGAGGUUCCAAUUUUUUCUUGGCCACCACUUCAAACUACAGGUGGUAGUUGUGCUUAUCAUGGCCAUAGACUGCAUCUGGAGUACUGUGCGCAGAUCUGGUCAGCACCUUACAAGAAAAAUGUGAAGCUGGGCAGAAAAGAGCAACCAGGUGCACUCCAGGAAUUCAGGACGCAUCACACUCUGACAUACCUUAGAGAAUUAAACCUGUCCAGUCUCAAGGAGAGGGGAGCUGCCUGAGGACCAAAUCCAUUCAUUCAUUCAUUUUCCACCGCUCAUCCAAAGCCGGGUCACAGGGGCAUUAGGAGCCUAAGCGUCCUUUUCCCAGCCACACUUGUCAACUCAUACUGUGGAAUCCGGAGAUGUUCCCAGGAAAUCUGAGAGAUACAAUCGUCUCAGCGAGCCUUUGGUUCUUCCCCAACUGGUUCUCCCCAUAAAUCCUCCAUGGAGGCAUCCGCAUCAGAUGCCCAGAUACAAUCCUCUCAGCGAGCCUUUGGGUCUUCCCCAACUGGUCGUGCCCAUAAAUCCUACAUGGAGGCAUCUGCAUCAGAUGCCCGGACCACCUCAAUUGGCUCCUCUCGAUGUGGAGGGUCUGCUUCUCACACUAUCUCUUAAGGGAGAGCCCCCGCCACCCUGCGGAGUGAGCUCAUUUGGGCCUCCUGUACCCGCCAUCUCAUUCUUGGAGCAAAUCCAGGUCUUCCAAAUUCUGAAAGGCGUCGAUAAAGUAGAUCUAGCAGAACUCGUUUCUGCUCACCGGUGAACCACACGCUUAGGGACACCAGUGGAAGUUGAGGAGAAGUGCAUUUAGGCCUGGAGCCAGGGUAGAACUUCUUUUCACAAAGAGUUGCGGGAAUCUUGAAAAGUUUAACUCUUAGAGGGCUGAAUAUUUUUACCAAAAAAUUAAUUUUUCUGAAAAAAGCACACAUAGCAAUUUCACACCUAAACCCAACAUUAAACAUCUGCUGCUGCAUGCUGUGGAUGCUGUUGGCGCCUGUUCGGGGUCUCGAUGGCUGCCUGGCAAGUUGGCAACGGGGGCAGUUGCAGUGCGACACAAUCUGGUUUGUACCUCCAUCGUCGGGAGUGACGGUCCUCCCAGGCGAAAUGCUACCGUAGGCCCAUCAGCACCGUGAUCAGCUGACGCGAGGACCUCACUUUCAUUUUUCGACCUUCAUCUCCAGAUCACUUGCCUCAAAAUCGGGGUCCAUCAAGUCGGAAUCCAAUUCAGAGAAAAGACGCAAAAUGUUUUUGCGCAAGAGUAAUUUUGCUUUGCGUGUUCGCCAGAUGUCGAUGCCAUAUGGGUGGUCUGCUCCUCGCUACUCCUGCACACGCGGGGGGGGGAUUCGAGGUCCAAUGAACAAAGCGAACUUGCCUUCUAGGAAAGAGAAUCGAACUAAAGCGGAACGGCGAGUUCUUCUAACCCUGAAUUUCGACAAAAGUCGACAUCUGCCCUGAAGAGUAUUAAAAGAAGGGUCUGGGCGAGAUGUUGGGAGAGCGGAGCUAUUAGCUAAACAACUGAGUUUGAUGGACUGAGUGGUCUCCUCUGGUCUGUCCAAUUCCUGAUGUUCUUAUUUAUGUACUAAGGCCGUGUUUCUCAACCACUAGGAGGGUCACGAGUAGCUGUUUAUUAUAAAAGGUAGCAGGUCACAGGGGGCCGAGAAGUGGGUCAUGGUGGGCCACCACUCCCGACGAUGUCACUCAACUUGGAUGAUCUCGUUCAAUUCACAUUCACCAACGGGGACGACUCCCACCCCGCCUCUCUCUGAUGUUCAUGACCCUUGGUGGGUGAAGACACUUGAAAUGGGAAAAAGGGGGUCACGGCACCAGAGCGGUUAAACACUGCGCUAAGGAACAUAAUAAAGAAAUAAUAUGUUUAGGUGAUUAGUGACAGCUAGGGAGGAACAGGUGGGCUUGCUGCUAAUACCAACUGUCCAGUAUCCAUAAGGUUGGCAUUCGUGGCACUCUUAUGGGGCAUUCAGGCAGAGAUGUGAUUUUAAACAGAAUCGAGCCCACUGACCAUUUGGCUGUGGAAAGCCACCAUUUGCCUUUUUUAUGCUAUUGCAACAAAGUCCCACUCUUGCCACCUUCACCCCGUUUCCUGCAGAUGUUUUUUUUUGCAUUUUUGAUGAGAAAUUUGAGUUUCCCAAAUAACCGAAAAAGCGAGCCAGGAAGUGUGCCUCGUUAGGGUAGCUGUUUCUCUUUGAAUGAUGAAGAGUGGGCUUUGCAGAAGCAGGUCUCUUUGUUCGUGUGUGUGUGUGUGCGUGCCCGCCCUGUGUUGGUUGAGAUUGGCUCCAGCAGACCCCCAUGACCCAGUAGUUAGGAUAUAGCAGGUUGCAUAAUGGAUGGAUGGAUGGUCUCUUUGUCCAUUUCCCGCCACAUGUUAGAAGGUUGCAGUUCCAGGCGAUUUUCUGGGCAUCCGCACCUACAGUGCUAAGUAAGAUACCGAGGGUCCUGAAAUGUGCGCGGCUGAACCACACGAGUAUCAGCAGCACGGGACAGAGAGGUUUGCUGCUGCUAUAGCUGGGGGGGGUCACAAACAGGCUCAAGCCCACUGACCUUUUUAAAGCGGCCCGAUUCGUCAAUACUCCAGACACGUUAAAUAACGGCCCGCAGUGACCAUUAAUAUUCUCAAAAACCCCAUUAAUGGUUAUUUCCUAUUUAGACGGUACUCAUACAUAGCAUCACAUUUAAAGACGACACAGAGAUGCGUCUCCAGUGUCUGUUCGUGCUUCACCGUUCACUAGACAGUUUCAUUUAUAGACACUCCAAAUGGGAGCCCCCCCCGCCCCGAUGUGCGAGAACCCACCUGGAUGAUGUGACACCUGCCGUUCUUGUGCCGGUAUGCUCACCACACAUUAGCCCAGGGGUCCCCAACUCCAGUCCUGGAGGGCCGCAGUGGCUGCAGGUUUUCAUUCUAACCCUUUCCUUAAUUAAUGACCAGAUGUUGCUGCUAAUUAACUCUUUGCCUUCAUUUUAAUUGACGCACAACUUAAGACUCGGCCCCCUGAAUUAUUUCUUUCUUUUCCUUAAUUAGCAACCAAACAAUAUUAAGAGGGGGUGGCACGGUGGCACAGUGGGUAGCGCUGCUGCCUCGCAGUAAGGAGACCUGGGUGUUCGCUUUCCGGGUCCUCCCCGCGUGGAAAUGAAAACCUGCAGCCACAGUAGCUCUCCAGGACCGGAGUUGGAGACCCCUGCAUUAGAUAUUGGGGGGGGACCUUUUUAUAGCAGCCCACUUUGUUGAUAUUCCAAACAUGUUAAAUAACAGCCCGCAGUGACCAUUAAUGUUCUCAAAAACCCCCCUUUAAUGGUUAUUUCCUAUUUAGACUGUACUCACACAUAGCAUCACAUUUACAGACGACAGCGGCUCGAGACGCUUUUUUUUUUUUUUUUUUUUUGUUUCUGCCCAGGUACCCUGCACUUUUUUUCUUCUAUCAAGAAGAUAGAAACACCUGGUAAAUAGCAAUAAAUCCUUAUUAUUAUUAGUAGUAUUAGUAUUAGUAUUACUUCGCUGGGCGGCAUGGUGGCGCAGUGGGUAGCGCUGCUGCCUCGCAGUUGGGACACCUGGGGACCUGGGUUCGAUUCCCGGGUCCUCCCUGCGUGGAGUUUGCAUGUUCUCCCCGUGUCUGCGAGGGUUUCCUCCGGGCGCUCCGGUUUCCUCCCACAUUCCAAAGACAUGCAGGUUAGGUGGAUUGGCGAUUCUGAAUUGGCCCUAGUGUGUGCUUGGUGUGUGGGUGUGUUUGUGUGUGUCCUGCGGUGGGUUGGCACCCUGCCCGGGAUUGUUUCCUGCCUUGUGCCCUGUGUUGGCUGGGAUUGGCUCCAGCAGACCCCCGUGACCCUGUGUUCGGAUUCAGCGGGUUGGAAAAUGGAUGGAUGGAUGGAUUACUUCGCUGAGGCUCAUUCUGGCACAAGGCCGAGGUUGGGGGGCUGGGAGGCUCCUGGAAGGCUUGUUUUGACUGGUUGUUGCUGUCACCUGACUAAUUAUGCAUGCAAAUGAGCCAUGCGGUUAUGAGCUGGGGUUGUCUGUGGUUUGUAUCAGGUGGCAGUACUCCUAAUAUUCUCAUUCAAUCUGAUCAGCUAAUGUACCACUCAAAUGAAAAUGCUGCGGUGGAAAUUUGGCUGGAGUGCAGACCUUAUGCAGGAAUAUUUAGGGAAUAAAUGAUCUGAAGCAAAGCAUGUUUUGGCCUGGAUGGAAGAAUUUCUAGGAAAAACCAGGGUUGCUACUGGAAGAGGUGUUGAUGAGGCCAGCAGGGGGCGCUCACCCUGUAGUCUGAAUGUGGAUCACAAUGCAGUGAUGGGGACACUGUGCUGUAAAAAUGGCACCGUCCUUCAAAUGAGACCCAAAACUGAGGUCCUGACUAACAGUGGUCAUAAAAGGCAGUCGUGCAUCCUCCGUAAAGAGCAGGGUGUUUCCUCAUGUCCACCACAGCCUGGUCAUUCUGGCCCCCUAAUCAUCACCUGUCCUUGACUGGCUAACUAUCUGUCCCCUUCACCACAUAAUAGCUCACGUGUGUUUGGCAUACUGGCACAAAAUGGCUGCCGUCACAUCACUCAGGAGGAUGUUGCACAUCAGUGGUGGUUGAAGUGGCUCCUCACUCACUGAAGUGCUUUGUGUAGUGAGAAAAGUGCUACAUAUACAUAAAGAAUUAUUAUUAUUAUAUUAUAACCAGAUUAUAUAGUUGGGAAAUACUGUUCUAACGUAUGAAUUGUCAUAAACAGCCGAGUACUUUCAGUGGAACGGCUGGAGAUUUGUUUCAGGGAAAACAAUGGCACCUGUCCUGUGUUGACAUGUCUGCUUAGAUACCUCCACAAUGCUACCUGUAAUAAAGAAAGUCCUAAAAUGUUUGUCCUAAUAUUAAUAAAGAAUAAAUAUAAUAAU